CUUUUAAAUAAAGACUAGUAUGAAUGGCAUCACGAGAACUAAUCUGUCUCCCUCCCCCAAUCAGUGAAACUGAUCUCCCCGUGCAGAAGCGGGGAUAACAUCAUAAGACGAGAAGACCCUGUGGAGCUUCAAAUCAAAGACCAACUGCUUCUAAUUCCCCAACAAAGAAACAUUAAUGCGGACACCUGGUUCAGGAUUUUUAGCUGGGGCAGCUGUGGAGAAAAAAAAAUCCUCCACGAAGAAUUAUGCCAAGGGCUACCGCCCUAAGCAUUAAUAGAUUAACUUAAUUGACCCUUUUUGAUCAACGAACCAAGUUACCCCAGGGAUAACAGCGCAAUCCACUUUCAGAGUCCAUAUCGAC
rnacentral:rRNA from 1 species